UACGAAGGGGGCUAGCGUUGCUCGGAAUCACUGGGCGUAAAGCGCACGUAGGCGGAUUGUUAAGUCAGGGGUGAAAUCCUGGAGCUCAACUCCAGAACUGCCUUUGAUACUGGCGAUCUUGAGUCCGGGAGAGGUGAGUGGAACUGCGAGUGUAGAGGUGAAAUUCGUAGAUAUUCGCAAGAACACCAGUGGCGAAGGCGGCUCACUGGCCCGGUACUGACGCUGAAGCGCGAAAGCGUGGGGAGCAAACGGG
rnacentral:rRNA from 1 species